GGCAGUAUCUAGCAACCUAAGGUAAUAUUUAUCCAAUUCCUUAUUCUUGAUGCUAAAGAAAUGGGAUUAGUAUCUUUAAUUAUAAUUUUUUUUAUGUGCUUUGGGAAACCUUUUCUUUUGUAUAUUUAUCAUGGAAAUCUGAAUAGGUUUACACUUAGCAGAAUUUAAUGAAGGAUGCUUUCCUUGUUUAAUAGGUAUCAAAUACUUGCUGGAGUU
rnacentral:misc_RNA from 1 species